GCGCAGCCAACGAGCGCGCGAAGACCAGUUCCGCUGAUUGGCGCAGCAGUCUCGCGGCGGCCGAGCUCGCCACUCGUUGCUCACCGAUGACUCGGUAAUAAUAGCUCGUGAACAAAGCCGCGGAUUGCAUUUUCGCUAAGGAAAAAGGUUACUUCGAAUGACCUCGGAAAUCCACCAUUUCCAGAUUUCGAGGCACUUUUGGGACACCCUGUAUUUACGCGUUGCAGUCGAUUUAUUGGAAUCCGCGCACCGAUCGAAUUCUCGCGGCUCUCUAGUUCGAAGGUCUAUAGUCCUCGCGCGGCAAGAAGGCGCCUUUCCGUUCGCGUACCCCCCCCCCCCCCACUAGCUAGUCCGCUGCCGCAGCUAGUAAGUGGAGGGGACGUAAACAGAAAAGGUGCCUCCGUGUCACGCGAGGACUGUACACGUGCCGUCGGUGAGCGCGCGGGAACAAAAAGCAGCGUAACAUCGCGUUUUAUUCAAUCAUGAUUUUUCAUACUUGAUAGCUCGAGGGUUAAGAACGAAUAUUAUAUAAUUCAGGCAGGCUCUCAUCGAACGAGCGAGCGAGAGAGAAGCGAGAGAGCGAGUCAACGAAGCGUGCAACGAGCGACAGCGUGAAUGAACAGAUUUGUGUUAAUCGGUAAAACCAAAAAAUAUGUUUAUAAUUGGUAUAGAUACGCUAUCGAUUGAAUAAAUUGUUUUUCUUAUAAA